UACGAAGGGGGCGAGCGUUGUUCGGAUUUACUGGGCGUAAAGGGCGCGCAGGCGGUCUUGAAAGUCAGGCCGUGAAAGCCCCGGGCUUAACCUGGGAAUUGCGCUUGAUACUCUGAGACUGGAGUACGGGAGAGGAGAGUGGAAUUCCCAGUGUAGAGGUGAAAUUCGUAGAUAUUGGGAAGAACACCAGUGGCGAAGGCGGCUCUCUGGACCGUAACUGACGCGUGAGGCGGCGAAAGCGUGGGGAGCAAACAGG
rnacentral:rRNA from 1 species